AGUAAACAACGCCGAGUAGACAACGCCGUUUGGUGGCUGUUCUUCCUUAUUUAAGGCAAUGAUGAAGGGUUGUACCUGUGCGAUGAGACAUUUGUUGUAGCUGCUGCCAGGUAUGUGAUGUGUAGCUAUAGUGCAUUGUGACGGUGUUUUGUAAAUGUUUUUGUGCUUUGAUGUAUUUAAAUGUAUUGUAUUGUAUUCGGUAUUUAAGUAAUGCAUGUAUUUAAAUGUAUUGUAGUGUAUUUGAUAUUUGGGUAAUGCAUGUAUUUAUGGAUGAUGUGUUUUUAUUGUUAAAUGUUGGGUGUAAGAUUAAUGGUGAUUUCUGGCUCUGUUUUAGGAGCUGGCCUAUGUCACUGUUUUGAGGCUUUAGAUAUAAUAUAUAAACCCAAUGUGUUUCUAAAUCCACUUGUGAGGUACUUAAAAGUGUUUGCCCAUUUUAAUAUACCCACAUGCACUUGCUACCAAAGAAGCCUAUUUAUGUGUUAUUUUAUUAUGGUUGGAUUGUGAAUAAAUAACUAUGAAAAAGA